rnacentral:misc_RNA from 1 species
CCCCAAUUUAACCUUAUCUACAGCCAGUGCCUGCGACUCUUCAGAGUACUCUUUUCUUGCUUUGAGUCUCAUCUCUUCAUUAUUCUCCAAAGCCUGCUGUAUACGAGUCCUUUUCUGAAAGAUCUGCUCUUCAUAAACAGCAACUGACUGGAUAAAAUGUUCUACUCUGUCAAGAUUUACCUCACCCGCAUCAGUAAGAUAACCG